rnacentral:rRNA from 1 species
UACGAGGGGGGCAAGCGUUGUUCGGAAUUAUUGGGCGUAAAGGGCGCGUAGGCGGUGCGGUAAGUCUGAUGUGAAAUCUCCGGGCUCAACUCGGAGUCUGCAUCAGAAACUGCCGUGCUUGAGUGUGGGAGAGGUGAGUGGAAUUCCCGGUGAGCGGUGAAAUGCGUAGAUAUCGGGAGGAACACCUGUGGCGAAAGCGGCUCACUGGACCACAACUGACGCUGAGGAGCCGAAAGCGUGGGGAGCGAACAGG